GUUAUCCGGAUUUAUUGGGUUUAAAGGGAGCGUAGAUGGAUGUUUAAGUCAGUUGUGAAAGUUUGCGGCUCAACCGUAAAAUUGCAGUUGAUACUGGAUGUCUUGAGUGCAGUUGAGGCAGGCGGAAUUCGUGGUGUAGCGGUGAAAUGCUUAGAUAUCACGAAGAACUCCGAUUGCGAAGGCAGCCUGCUAAGCUGCAACUGACAUUGAGGCUCGAAAGUGUGGGUAUCAAACAGGAUUAGAUACCCUGGUAGUCCACACGGUAAACGAUGAAUACUCGCUGUUUGCGAUAUACGGCAAGCGGCCAAGCGAAAGCGUUAAGUAUUCCACCUGGGGAGUACGCCGGCAACGGUGAAACUCAAAGGAAUUGACGGGGGCCCGCACAAGCGGAGGAACAUGUGGUUUAAUUCGAUGAUACGCGAGGAACCUUACCCGGGCUUAAAUUGCACUCGAAUGAUCCGGAAACGGUUCAGCUAGCAAUAGCGAGUGUGAAGGUGCUGCAUGG
rnacentral:rRNA from 1 species